GAUGAACGCUGGCGGCGUGCCUAAUACAUGCAAGUCGAGCGAACAGACGAGGAGCUUGCUCCUCUGACGUUAGCGGCGGACGGGUGAGUAAAACGUGGAUAACCUACCUAUAAGACUGGGAUAACUUCGGGAAACCGGAGCUAAUACCGGAUAAUAUAUUGAACCGCAUGGUUCAAUAGUGAAAGACGGUUUUGCUGUCACUUAUAGAUGGAUCCGCGCCGCAUUAGCUAGUUGGUAAGGUAACGGCUUACCAAGGCCACGAUGCGUAGCCGACCUGAGAGGGUGAUCGGCCACACUGGAACUGAGACACGGUCCAGACUCCUACGGGAGGCAGCAGUAGGGAAUAUUCCGCAAUGGGCGAAAGCUUGACGGAGCAACGCCGCGUGAGUGAUGAAGGUCUUCGGAUCGUAAAACUCUGUUAUUAGGGAAGAACAAAUGUGUAAGUAACUAUGCACGUCUUGACGGUACCUAAUCAGAAAGCCACGGCUAACUACGUG
rnacentral:rRNA from 1 species